rnacentral:misc_RNA from 1 species
CCAAUAGCGUAUAUUAAAGUUGUUGCAGUUAAAAAGCUCGUAGUUGAAUUUCGGGAUUGACGUGACGGUCGUGCCUUACGGGGUAUGAACUGUCGCCGUUGAUUUCUCACCUUCUGGAGAAGCUCGAUGUCCUUAAUUGGGUGUCUUGCGGAACCAGGACCUUACCUUGAAAAAAUUAGAGUGUUUAAAGCAGGCAUUAUUGCUCGAAUACAUUAGCAUGGAAUAAUAGAAUAGGACGGCAUGGUUCUAUUUUGUUGGUUUCUAGGAUCACCGUAAUGAUUAAUAGGGAUAGUUGGGGGCAUUAGUAUUCAAUUGUCAGAGGUGAAAUUCUUGGAUUUAUUGAAGACUAACUACUGCGAAAGCAUUUGCCAAGGAUGUUUUCAUUAAUCAAGAACGAAAGUUAGGGGAUCGAAGACGAUCAGAUACCGUCGUAGUCUUAACCAUAAACUAUGCCGACUAGGAAUCAGACGAUGUUAAUUUUUUAAUGACUCGUUUGGCACCUUACG